rnacentral:rRNA from 1 species
AAUAGAUACCCGGGUAGUCCACGCCGUAAACGAUGGAUACUAGCUGUUGGAGGUAUCGACCCCUUCAGUAGCGAAGCUAACGCGUUAAGUAUCCCGCCUGUGGAGUACGGUCGCAAGACUAAAACAUAAAGGAAUUGACGGGGACCCGCACAAGCGGUGGAUCGUGUUCUUUAAUUCGAUGAUAAACGAAGAACCUUACCAGGGCUUGACAUCCUUGGAAGCACUGCGAAAGCAGAGUGUGCCUUUUGGAACCAAGUGACAGGUGAUGCAUGGCCGUCGUCAGCUCGUGUCGUGAGAUGUUUGGUUAAGUCCAUCAACGAGCGCAACCCUUGUGAAUAGUUGUAUUUUUCUAUUCAGACUGCCCCGGUAACGGGGAGGAAGGAGGGGAUGAUGUCAGGUCAGUAUUUCCCUUACGUCCUGGGCUAGAAACACGAUACAAUGGCUAGUACAAUGCGCAGCGAAGCCGCGAGGUGGAGCAAAUCGCAUCAAAGCUAGUCUCAGUUCGGAUAAGAGGCUGAAACUCGCCUCUUUG